rnacentral:rRNA from 1 species
AUUGAACGCUGGCGGCAUGCUUUACACAUGCAAGUCGGACGGCAGCACAGAGAAGCUUGCUUCUUGGGUGGCGAGUGGCGAACGGGUGAGUAAUAUAUCGGAACGUACCGAGCAGUGGGGGAUAACUAAUCGAAAGAUUAGCUAAUACCGCAUAUUUUCUGAGGAAGAAAGCAGGGGACCAUUUGGCCUUGCGCUGUUUGAGCGGCCGAUAUCUGAUUAGCUAGUUGGUGGGGUAAAGGCCUACCAAGGCGACGAUCAGUAGCGGGUCUGAGAGGAUGAUCCGCCACACUGGGACUGAGACACGGCCCAGACUCCUACGGGAGGCAGCAGUGGGGAAUUUUGGACAAUGGGCGCAAGCCUGAUCCAGCCAUGCCGCGUGUCUGAAGAAGGCCUUCGGGUUGUAAGGGACUUUUGUCAGGGAAGAAAAGGACAGGGUUAAUACCCCUGUCUGAUGACG